rnacentral:rRNA from 1 species
CACCAGGUCAGGACACGGUAGGAUUGACGGACUGAAGGCUCUUUCUCGAUUCCGUGGAAAGUGGUGCAUGGCCGUUUUUGGUUGGUGGAUCGAUCCGUCUGGUUAAUUCCGUUAACGAACGAGACCUCGGCACUCCGAAUAGCGCGGCGGACGUCGCGGCCUCCGGGCCGUCUUCCGCACGAGCUUCUUAGAGGGACCGUCCCCCCGCCGGGGAAGGAGGUGCGAGGCAACGACAGGUCUGUGAUGCCCUUAGAUGUUCUGGGCCGCACGCGCAUUACACUGACGCGUCCAACGGGUGACUCCCGACCCGAAGGGGCCGGGGAAUCCGCAAGGCGCGUCGUGAUGGGGAUUGAACGUUGCAAUUGUUGUUCACGAACGUGGAAUUCCUAGUAGGCGCGGGUCAUCAACCCGCGCCGAUUACGUCCCUGCCCUUUGUACACACCGCC